GGUCAUGAGAGCCAGCACUAAGCCCCAGCUAGCUGGCCGGCAACCCUCACCGCGGUGGGGUGCCCUGGGUGAAGACCUGGCGUGAAAAAUAUCCUCACGCAAGCGCGGG
rnacentral:ncRNA from 1 species